rnacentral:rRNA from 1 species
UCCGCCAGAGAACUACAAGUGAAAAACUUGAAACUCAAAGGACUUGACGGUGUCCCAUAUCGGCCUAGAGGAGCCUGUCCUAUAAUCGAUACCCCCCGUUCCACCCAACCCCAACUAGCAAAAUAUCAGCCUAUAUACCGCCGUCGACAGUUUACCCUAUGAAGGUCUAAUAGUAAACACAAUAGCCCUACAACGCUAAUACGUCAGGUCAAGGUGUAGCAAAUGUUGAGGAAGAGAUUGGCUACAUUUUUUAAUAUAAAAAACACGAAUUGCACUAUGAAAUACUGCAUGAAGGUGAAUUUAGCAGUAAAACAGAUAAGAGUGUCUGUUUUAACAACGCUCUGGGACGCGUACACACCGCCC